CACGUAGGCACCAAGCGUUGUCCGGAUUUAUUGGGCGUAAAGAGCUCGUAGGCGGUUCAGUAAGUCGGGUGUGAAAACUCUGGGCUCAGCCCAGAGACGCCACCCGAUACUGCUGUGACUUGAGUACGGUAGGGGAGUGGGGAAUUCCUGGUGUAGCGGUGAAAUGCGCAGAUAUCAGGAGGAACACCAGUGGCGAAGGCGCCACUCUGGGCCGUAACUGACGCUGAGGAGCGAAAGCGUGGGUAGCAAACAGG
rnacentral:rRNA from 1 species